rnacentral:tmRNA from 1 species
GGGUCUGUAAUGGUCUCGACGGGAUGGCGAAAGCUGCUCUGUGAUGCAGGUCGAGAGUGAGUCUCCUCUCGGAAAUCAAAGGCUCAAAAAAAAAGUAAAUGCGAACAACAUUGUACCUUUUGCUCGUAAGCAAGCUCUAGUAGCUGCCUAAAAACCUCUUUCAGGUUCGAGCGUCAGUAGUUUGACUCCGUUAAGGACUACCGACCAACCCCCCAACGGAUGCGUUAGUAAGUGUUCUCGGUUGGCUUGCUAGUUAAGAUUUAAUCAGAGCAUCCCGCUGUUCGGGAUAAUGAACAGUCCCCGCCCUAAGGGUUAAAAGGGCUAAACCUGUGAACGAUCGGAAAGUCAAUACCCAUUUCGGACGGCAGUUCGAUUCUGCCCAGAUCCACUU